rnacentral:rRNA from 1 species
UAUGGAUUUUUUUAUGUUUUGUUUGUUGUUUUCUGAUUGGUUUUGGUAAAUUAUUAUUGGGUUGUUGUAUUUUAUUGAUCUGAUUAUUAUUAUUAUAGAUUAUUUGUACCGUAGGGGCUCAUUAAAUUUUAUUUUAUUAAGUUAUUUUUGUUUGAUGUACCUUGUGUAUCAGGGUUUACUAAUUUUUAUUAUUUAUUUUUAUUUCCCGAUUUCGGAGGAGUUAAUUAUUUGUUUUAGUUACUGUUUUAUUAGUAUUUAUAACAUUUGAUUGGUAGUGAUAUGUUAAUCGUCUUCGGUGGUAUCUGGUUUCUCAGGAAAUGAAUUUAAUUCACACUUUUUGUUUAGUUUUCAUUUUAUUUUGAUUGUCUUUACGUAUGGUGAAGGUGUUGGGGGAUAAGCUUUGGCUCUUUGUUUAUAAUGUUUAUUUUUAUGUAGUUUUGUGGGCUUUAUGUUGGCUAUCUAUUUGAGUAUAUUAAAAUUUUAUUUUUGUUGUUUGUGAUUUUUUUUCAUUUAAUUGUUUUACUGGGAUGUUGGGUUUAAUUUUUUGUCUGUUGUAUUUUUGGUUGAAUUAGUAUAUAUGGUGUUUUAGUUAGUUUGAAGUUUCGGUGAAUUUUUCAGAGGAACUUGGCAAAAAUUUAGCGCUCGCCUGUUUAACAAAAACAUCUCUUCUUGGUUUAUUUUUUGAAGUAUCGCCUGCCCACUGAUAUUGUUUGAAGGGCCGCGGUAUUUUGACCGUGCAAAGGUAGCAUAAUCAUUAGUUCUUUAAUUGUGAGCUGGUAUGAAUGGCUUGACGAGGUGCUGACUGUCUUUGUGUUUAAAAGUUUUGUUGAAUUUAGUCUUCGGGUAAAAAUACUCGAAUUUUGUUGUGGGACGAGAAGACCCUAUAGAGUUUCAUGUAACUUUCUUUUUUUUGUUUGUUAUUUCUUGUUGAGUUUGGUUGCAUUUUGUUGGGGUGAUGGGAAAAUAUGUUUAACUUUUCUUUUUAAUGUUUCACUUAUUUGUGUUUUUAUGAUCCUUUAUUAUUGAUUAUAAGAUUAAAUUACCUUAGGGAUAACAGCGUAAUCUUUUUUGAGAGUUCUUAUUGACAAAAGGGUUUGCGACCUCGAUGUUGGAUUAAGAUGAAUUUUUGGCGUAGAGGCUUUAUUGAAUUUUUAUUUGGUCUGUUCGACCUUUAAAAUCUUACAUGAUCUGAGUUCAAACCGGCGUGAGCCAGGUUGGUUUCUAUCUACAAUUUUUUUGAAUUUCUUAGUACGAGAGGACCAGAAAUUCGGAAUAAUUUUCUUUAUUUUGAAUUUUAAUAAUUU